AGAGUUUGAUCAUGGCUCAGGAUGAACGCUAGCGGCAGGCUUAAUACAUGCAAGUCGAGGGGCAGCAGGUCUGUAGCAAUACAGAUGCUGGCGACCGGCAAACGGGUGCGGAACACGUACAGAACCUUCUUUCGAGCGGGGAAUAGCCCAGAGAAAUUUGGAUUAAUACCCCAUAGUAUAAUGAAGAGGCAUCUCUUUAUUAUUAAAGAUUUAUCACUUGGAGAUGGCUGUGCGGCUGAUUAGGUAGUUGGCGGGGUAACGGCCCACCAAGCCUACGAUCAGUAACUGGUGUGAGAGCACGACCAGUCACACGGGCACUGAGACACGGGCCCGACUCCUACGGGAGGCAGCAGUAAGGAAUAUUGGUCAAUGGACGCAAGUCUGAACCAGCCAUGCCGCGUGGAGGAUGAAGGUCCUCUGGAUUGUAAACUUCUUUUAUAUGGGACGAAAAAAGGGUUUUCUAACUCGACUGACGGUACCAUAUGAAUAAGCACCGGCUAACUCCGUGCCAGCAGCCGCGGUAAUACGGAGGGUGCAAGCGUUAUCCGGAUUCACUGGGUUUAAAGGGUGCGUAGGUGGGUUGGUAAGUCAGUGGUGAAAUCCCCGAGCUUAACUCGGGAACUGCCAUUGAUACUAUCAGUCUUGAAUACCGUGGAGGUCAGCGGAAUAUGUCAUGUAGCGGUGAAAUGCUUAGAUAUGACAUAGAACACCAAUUGCGAAGGCAGCUGGCUACACGAAUAUUGACACUGAGGCACGAAAGCGUGGGGAUCAAACAGGAUUAGAUACCCUGGUAGUCCACGCCCUAAACUAUGGAUACUCGACAUACGCGAUACACUGUGUGUGUCUGAGCGAAAGCAUUAAGUAUCCCACCUGGGAAGUACGAUCGCAAGAUUGAAACUCAAAGGAAUUGACGG
rnacentral:rRNA from 1 species